rnacentral:rRNA from 1 species
AGAGUUUGAUCCUGGCUCAGGAUGAACGCUGGCGGCGUGCUUAACACAUGCAAGUCGAACGAUGAUCCGGUGCUUGCACCGGGGAUUAGUGGCGAACGGGUGAGUAACACGUGAGUAACCUGCCCUUAACUCUGGGAUAAGCCUGGGAAACUGGGUCUAAUACCGGAUAUGACUCCUCAUCGCAUGGUGGGGGGUGGAAAGCUUUAUUGUGGUUUUGGAUGGACUCGCGGCCUAUCAGCUUGUUGGUGAGGUAAUGGCUCACCAAGGCGACGACGGGUAGCCGGCCUGAGAGGGUGACCGGCCACACUGGGACUGAGACACGGCCCAGNACUCCUACGGGAGGCAGCAGUGGGGAAUAUUGCACAAUGGGCGCAAGCCUGAUGCAGCGACGCCGCGUGAGGGAUGACGGCCUUCGGGUUGUAAACCUCUUUCAGUAGGGAAGAAGCGAAAGUGACGGUACCUGCAGAAGAAGCGCCGGCUAACUACGUGCCAGCAGCCGCGGUAAUACGUAGGGCGCAAGCGUUAUCCGGAAUUAUUGGGCGUAAAGAGCUCGUAGGCGGUUUGUCGCGUCUGCCGUGAAAGUCCGGGGCUCAACUCCGGAUCUGCGGUGGGUACGGGCAGACUANAGUGAUGUAGGGGAGACUGGAAUUCCUGGUGUAGCGGUGAAAUGCGCANAUAUCAGGAGGAACACCGAUGGCGAAGGCAGGUCUCUGGGCAUUA